UACUCCAAACAGCUUCUUCUAUGAGGGAGUCUUGCUGAGAGAAUGCUUUCAAGGGUCAAGGGAGAAAGUGGCCAUCUGCAAGUCAGGAAGAGAGCUCUCAUCAAGAACUGGAGCAUGCCAGAACCUGCUCCUGACCUUGGACUAGCCCGAUCUAGCCUCCAGAAUUAAAAGAAAGCUGAAGCUGAAAGUAAGAAACGUACAGAGAAGAGGAGCAAAGCAAAUUCAUUCUUACUGAGCACCUGUAAUGAAUUGAAUGCUGUAUUAGGGUCCUGCAUUUCAUUAAACAUACACUUCACCUAGCAACCAUGAGAAGUAGAUGUUUUAGCUUUACUUUUUUACUUUUGAAAAUAAUUAUACUGAAUUUUUAAAAUAUAGUGCAUGCUGUUUAUAAAAACUUUUUUAAUGUAGAAAAAUACAAAUUAGAAUAGUUUGUAUUGAUUAUUUUCUAUUCCCACCCUGGAUAAACACUUAGAAUUUUGAGUAAACACCUUUUUGCCCUGUGUUUAUACAUAUACAAAUUGUGUAUAUGUGUACAUAUAUAUGUAUAUGUAAAUAUACAAAUUGUGUAAAUAAAUUUGUACAAUUAUUUUCACUUGGGAUCAAAUGAUGAAUGCAGUAUUCUAACAUUUUUUUGCUGAAAGAAAAAUGUGUCAAAUGUGUCCAUAAACAUCUAUCAUGGAAUUAAAUAUAAGUAUCUUUAUCCUAGUGAAUGAAAAUUGGAAGUUUUGGUGAUUUUUUUUGUUUUAAAAUAUAUGAUCAUCACCUUUGUGCAUCAUCUAUAAUUCAAAGAUCAACAGGUGUCAACUUUCAUCUUAAAAUCUAUACAUAAUUGAUUCAACUUAUAUUCCACAAAUUGUGGAUAAUUUAGUGCCUCUCCAAGGAUUUCUAUAUAUUCAGAAGGGGUGCUUACUUUCAUCAUUACUGGUGGGUUGAGUUCCUGCUUCCACUGACUUGGUUUAAUGAUCAUUUCAUCACUCUGCUUAUAUUUUUUCUCUUUGGAGUCAAACUCAUCUUCCUGAAUAUCUUCCAAAAAUAUCCUAACACACAAGUUGUCUUUGUGUGAAGCAUCGAAGAUUUGGGGAGAUCAAAGGAAGUGUAUCAUAACGAGGCAAACAAGUCCACAUAUUACAUUAUGUUUUCAUGUUGUUAAAAAUGAUCCUGCCAUUUUAAACUCAGGUUCCAACUUCCCAUC